rnacentral:piRNA from 3 species
UGGUGCGAGAAAUUGCUCAGGACUUU